CGGGACACGUGGUAUCCUGUCUGAAUAUGGGGGGACCAUCCUCCAAGGCUAAAUACUCCUGACUGACCGAUAGUGAACCAGUACCGUGAGGGAAAGGCGAAAAGAACCCCGGCGAGGGGAGUGAAAAAGAACCUGAAACCGUGUACGUACAAGCAGUGGGAGCACGCUUAGGCGUGUGACUGCGUACCUUUUGUAUAAUGGGUCAGCGACUUAUAUUCUGUAGCAAGGUUAACCGAAUAGGGGAGCCGAAGGGAAACCGAGUCUUAACUGGGCGUUAAGUUGCAGGGUAUAGACCCGAAACCCGGUGAUCUAGCCAUGGGCAGGUUGAAGGUUGGGUAACACUAACUGGAGGACCGAACCGACUAAUGUUGAAAAAUUAGCGGAUGACUUGUGGCUGGGGGUGAAAGGCCAAUCAAACCGGGAGAUAGCUGGUUCUCCCCGAAAGCUAUUUAGGUAGCGCCUCGUGAAUUCAUCUCCGGGGGUAGAGCACUGUUUCGGCAAGGGGGUCAUCCCGACUUACCAACCCGAUGCAAACUGCGAAUACCGGAGAAUGUUAUCACGGGAGACACACGGCGGGUGCUAACGUCCGUCGUGAAGAGGGAAACAACCCAGACCGCCAGCUAAGGUCCCAAAGUCAUGGUUAAGUGGGAAACGAUGUGGGAAGGCCCAGACAGCCAGGAUGUUGGCUUAGAAGCAGCCAUCAUUUAAAGAAAGCGUAAUAGCUCACUGGUCGAGUCGGCCUGCGCGGAAGAUGUAACGGGGCUAAACCAUGCACCGAAGCUGCGGCAGCGACGCUGAUGCGUUGUUGGGUAGGGGAGCGUUCUGUAAGCCUGUGAAGGUGUGCUGUGAGGCAUGCUGGAGGUAUCAGAAGUGCGAAUGCUGACAUAAGUAACGAUAAAGCGGGUGAAAAGCCCGCUCGCCGGAAGACCAAGGGUUCCUGUCCAACGUUAAUCGGGGCAGGGUGAGUCGACCCCUAAGGCGAGGCCGAAAGGCGUAGUCGAUGGGAAACAGGUUAAUAUUCCUGUACUUGGUGUUACUGCGAAGGGGGGACGGAGAAGGCUAUGUUGGCCGGGCGACGGUUGUCCCGGUUUAAGCGUGUAGGCUGGUUUUCCAGGCAAAUCCGGAAAAUCAAGGCUGAGGCGUGAUGACGAGGCACUACGGUGCUGAAGCAACAAAUGCCCUGCUUCCAGGAAAAGCCUCUAAGCAUCAGGUAACAUCAAAUCGUACCCCAAACCGACACAGGUGGUCAGGUAGAGAAUACCAAGGCGCUUGAGAGAACUCGGGUGAAGGAACUAGGCAAAAUGGUGCCGUAACUUCGGGAGAAGGCACGCUGAUAUGUAGGUGAAGCGACUUGCUCGUGGAGCUGAAAUCAGUCGAAGAUACCAGCUGGCUGCAACUGUUUAUUAAAAACACAGCACUGUGCAAACACGAAAGUGGACGUAUACGGUGUGACGCCUGCCCGGUGCCGGAAGGUUAAUUGAUGGGGUCAGCGCAAGCGAAGCUCUUGAUCGAAGCCCCGGUAAACGGCGGCCGUAACUAUAACGGUCCUAAGGUAGCGAAAUUCCUUGUCGGGUAAGUUCCGACCUGCACGAAUGGCGUAAUGAUGGCCAGGCUGUCUCCACCCGAGACUCAGUGAAAUUGAACUCGCUGUGAAGAUGCAGUGUACCCGCGGCAAGACGGAAAGACCCCGUGAACCUUUACUAUAGCUUGACACUGAACAUUGAGCCUUGAUGUGUAGGAUAGGUGGGAGGCUUUGAAGUGUGGACGCCAGUCUGCAUGGAGCCGGCCUUGAAAUACCACCCUUUAAUGUUUGAUGUUCUAACGUUGACCCGUGAUCCGGGUUGCGGACAGUGUCUGGUGGGUAGUUUGACUGGGGCGGUCUCCUCCUAAAGAGUAACGGAGGAGCACGAAGGUUGGCUAAUCCUGGUCGGACAUCAGGAGGUUAGUGCAAUGGCAUAAGCCAGCUUGACUGCGAGCGUGACGGCGCGAGCAGGUGCGAAAGCAGGUCAUAGUGAUCCGGUGGUUCUGAAUGGAAGGGCCAUCGCUCAACGGAUAAAAGGUACUCCGGGGAUAACAGGCUGAUACCGCCCAAGAGUUCAUAUCGACGGCGGUGUUUGGCACCUCGAUGUCGGCUCAUCACAUCCUGGGGCUGAAGUAGGUCCCAAGGGUAUGGCUGUUCGCCAUUUAAAGUGGUACGCGAGCUGGGUUUAGAACGUCGUGAGACAGUUCGGUCCCUAUC
rnacentral:rRNA from 1 species